ensembl:lncRNA
AUGUAACAGUAACAAUGAGCCACGCGCUCGUCCUCCUAAAAUCCUUGGAAACCAACCAAGCCUGUAAAAUCAAAGCGCUAUUCAUUGUAUGGGGGCGAGGGAAUCUCCUCAACCACCACCAUCUGGAUGAUGGACUAAAACCCACAGUAGGAAAAAAAGAGCAAGUAAUCAUAUAAGAAUGAUAAGAAAUCCAGAAAACUUUGAGAUUAUCACUUGUCACCUUACAGGAAAAUAAAGCCAUGAAUAUGAGAACCUGUAUUAAACUAAAUUGAUCAACCAAUUUUUAAAAAUUAUUAUUUCAUUCAUUUCUUUAACAUUUUUGAUUAAACACUGACCUUUACUUUCAUUGAAUAGACUUAUUAUUUAUUGUAGACUGGAUGUUUAAAUGUUAGCAAUUACAGCAGACGUUUGCAAAAAAGUGGGCGUUUCCUGCAAAUGUCAUUUCUCACAAAAUCAGGUGAUAAUGUUCGCCCAGCAAUGCAACUAUCUCUUUAUCUAUAGAGACAAAAGAAAGAUAUUACAGAAUGAUCACUCUGAAUGGCCGCCCAUCCAUGUAAAUAUCUCUAUUUGUAAAGACAAGAAUGAGGUUUAAUCACCGUCUUAAUGUGUAGUGACUGGGUUUAUUUGUGAAGAUACUGAUGAAUGAAAACAUAGUGCAACCCAAAAGAAAACCUGUCAGCUUGAGCUUUAUUUUAUAUAGCUUUGUUCUUUCAACUUUAUGUACAAAAGCAAAUAGAAAUAACUAUAUUUUGUAAAAAAAAUUUCCUGAAUUUUGCGCCAUCUGGCUUUCUCUACGGUUCCCUACUGCCGUCUAACUCCACCUGCCACCUGAAAGAAAAAAAUAAUAAAUUUAAAGGAAGCAAGGAGCCACAAACCGUAGAGGCUAAGCGAAGAAGACCUUAAUCGACGUCGAACUCUACCUGCCGCCAUAUACCGCCAUAUACCGCCAACCUACCGCCAUAUAGCUCAAACCUACCACCUGAAAGAAAAGAUAAAUGUAACAGUAACAAUGAGCCACGAGCUCGUCCUCGUGAAAUCCUUUGAAACCAACCAAGCCUGUAAAAUCAAAGCGCUAUUCAUUGUAUGGGGGCGAGGGAAUCUCCUCAACCACCACCAUCUGGAUGAUGGACUAAAACCCACAGUAGGAAAAAAAGAGCAAGUAAUCAUAUAAGAAUGAUAAGAAAUCCAGAAAACUUUGAGAUUAUCACUUGUCACCUUACAGGAAAAUAAAGCCAUGAAUAUGAGAACCUGUAUUAAACUAAAUUGAUCAACCAAUUUUUAAAAAUUAUUAUUUCAUUCAUUUCUUUAACAUUUUUUGAUUAAACACUGACCUUUACUUUCAUUGAAUAGACUUAUUAUUUAUUGUAGGCUGAAUGUUUAAAUGUUAGCAAUUACCGCAGACGUUUGCAAAAGUGGGCGUUUCCUGCAAAGUCAUUUCUCACAAAAUCAGGUGAUAAUGUUCGCCCAGCAAUGCAACUAUCUCUUUAUCUAUAGAGACAAAAGAAAGAUAUUACAGAAUGAUCACUCUGAAUGGCCGCCCAUCCAUGUAAAUAUCUCUAUUUGUAAAGACAAAAGAAUGAGGUUUAAUCACCGUCUUAAUGUGUAGUGACUGGGUUUAUUUGUGAAGAUACUGAUGAAUGAAUACAUGGUGCAACCCAAAAGAAAACCUGUCAGCUUGAGCUUUAUUUUAUAUAGCUUUGUUCUUUCAACUUUAUGUACAAGAGCAAAUAGAAAUAACUAUAUUUUGUAAAAAAAAUUUCCUGAAUUUUGCGCCAUCUGGCUUUCUCUAUGGUUCCCUACUGCCGUCUAACUCCACCUGCCACCUGAAAGAAAAAAAUAAUAAAUUUAAAGGAAGCAAGGAGCCACAAACCGUAGAGGCUAAGCGAAGAAGACCUUCAUCGACGUCGAACUCUACCUGCCGCCAUAUACCGCCAUAUACCGCCAACCUACCGCCAUAUAGCUCAAACCUACCACCUGAAAGAAAAAAUAAAUGUAACAGUAACAAUGAGCCACGAGCUCGUCCUCGUAAAAUCCUUUGAAACCAACCAAGCCUGUAAAAUCAAAGCGCUAUUCAUUGUAUGGGGGCGAGGGAAUCUCCUCAACCACCACCAUCUGGAUGAUGGACUAAAACCCACAGUAGGAAAAAAAAGAGCAAGUAAUCAUAUAAGAAUGAUAAGAAAUCCAGAAAACUUUGAGAUUAUCACUUGUCACCUUACAGGAAAAUAAAGCCAUGAAUAUGAGAACCUGUAUUAAACUAAAUUGAUCAACCAAUUUUUUAAAAUUAUUAUUUCAUUCAUUUCUUUAACAUUUUUGAUUAAACACUGACCUUUACUUUCAUUGAAUAGACUUAUUAUUUAUUGUAGGCUGAAUGUUUAAAUGUUAGCAAUUACAGCAGACGUUUGCAAAAAGUGGGUGUUUCCUGCAAAUGUCAUUUCUCACAAAAUCAGGUGAUAAUGUUCGCCCAGCAAUGCAACUAUCUCUUUAUCUAUAGAGAUAAAAGAAAGAUAUUACAGAAUGAUCACUCUGAAUGGCCGCCCAUCCAUGUAAAUAUCUCUAUUUGUAAAGACAAAAGAAUGAGGUUUAAUCACCGUCUUAAUGUGUAGUGACUGGGUUUAUUUGUGAAGAUACUGAUGAAUGAAUACAUGGUGCAACCCAAAAGAAAACCUGUCAGCUUGAGCUUUAUUUUAUUUAUUUUAUAGCUUUGUACUUUCAACUUCAUGUACAAAAGGAAAUAGAAUUAACUAUAUAUAUUUUUUAAAAAUUCCUGAAUUUUGCGCCAUCUGGCUUUCUCUAUGGUUACCUAUUGCCGUCUAACUCCACCUGCCACCUGAAAGAAAAAAAUAAUAAAUUUAAAGGAAGCAAGGAGCCACAAACCGUAGAGGCUUAAAAAGGCGUUGCCUCGCACAAAUCAGUGUUUGCUUGGCUAUUGCUGGAGGUAGUCAAGCAUGGUGUUGGCUUGUCAGUGAAUUUGUCUGAAGAUCAAAGCAUCUCAUGGCCCGUACGGGGAUCGAACCCGUGACCUUGGCGUUAAUAGCACCACGAUCUAACUAUCUGAGCCAACCGGCCUAAGGGUUACCUUAAGACUUUUGCCUGGCUCCGUACCGCGAGCUAGGAAGGGGCUAAGCGAAGAAGACCUUCAUCGACGUCGAACUCUAUCUGCCGCCAUAUACCGCCAACCUACCGCCAUAUAGCUCAAACCUACCACCUGGCGAGGCGUUUAUACUUCACGCGCUCGUCCUUGUAAUAUUCUUUGAAACCAAAUGGGACCGACUCGGAGUAAUCGUCAUAUAAACUAACAGGAAGUGACAAAGGGAAGAAUUAGUUUGUCUAAUAAUAAGAACUCAUUUUCAC